rnacentral:tRNA from 1 species
GGGUGGUUAGCUCAGCUGGUAGAGCAGCGGACUUUUAAUCCGUUGGUCGUGGGUUCGAAUCCCCCACCACCCACCA